AUAAAAAGUGAGGGAAAUGCAUUUUUAAAUAUCACAGAGUAAGACCAGCAAAGACAUCCUGCAGCUCUUACCUAUGAGCAGUGAUGUCAGUAACGUGUUACUGACGUCGGACCACUGCUUUCAGUAACAAUCUAACGAGUUGCUACUUCAAAUCCAGUAGUCAGACUACAGUUACUUGUCGAAACCACUUUGCGUUACUACUUUUUUUUUUUGAAAUUAAAGGUUAUU